CUCCCAAGUACCCGGAAAACUGUCUUCCUUUAUGACUGUAAUGGAUAGCUACCAGAACUGCUUAAUCUUAGCCAUAAUGCUUGACUAUCUCCCUAUCUUCUCUUAGCUCAUGCAAUUUCAUUAUAUAAUAUUCACUGGAGGUAGAUUCUCUGUAAACUUUCAAACUUCUUUCUCCAUUCACUUCUUUCUCUUCCAAAGCUCUGGUUUAUCAAAUGUAGCAGUUUUAAUCUUUCCAAACAUUUAAAUACCCUCCUCAACUCAGAGACUCCACUGGAAAGCUUCUCUUGCAUUCCAGUCUUCCUAUGUUUACCAAAAUGGGAACUCUUUCACAGUAGCAUAUCUAUCUCUAUGGCUUCAGUCAUUUGUUAUCCACAUUUUAUAUUUUCUGUAUUUCGCUGGUGUCUUCAAACUCAUUGCAUAAUAUAUUCCAUGCAGAUAGAUUGCCAUGCUUGGAUAUCAGACUUUAGUCUCUUCUGUUUCUUCUUGACUGGACCCUGAAGCCUAUGAGCAGAUUAGACUGCAACCUUACCCUCCUUCAGAAUUUGAUGUAGCUUGCCUUGAGUAAUGACCACCAAGGUAGCAUGGUAUAAAGGAUUCAAUAUCUUAUAUGAUCUCCUUAUCACAAAUAUAAGGUUUCUCUUGGUUUUAUUUGAGAACAGAUGGUAUUAAAAUAAAAGUCUUUGAAUCCAUGGUCAUUAGCUAGUAAUAAUUUUAUGCUUAGGAGUAAAGUAGUUUAUAUUAUUUUAAAUAUUCUAAUCAAGGAGACCCAGUGGAAACAGGGUAAAUUAUGCACUGAGAGAAACAAUGAAUGGCAAGCCAUGGAAGAAUAAAAUGAAAGAGGAGGUAUAGAUAAUGGCUGGAGGAGGGGCCAAAUAGGUCAGACUGUGUAUGGUCCUUCCAGCCAUUAUUAGCAUUUCUUUCUAUUAUGAGUGAAUUGUGAAGCUAUGCAUAGUAGAGAUAUAACUAGCCUGACAUGGUUUGAUGUUCUGGUUCCAAUAUAUGUUCCAGAAUAUAUUCCAAUAUAGUCAUAUUAGACUGCACUACAGAAAAAAUAAAAGGAGCUAAAGCAGAAAGCUUCAUUCAUCUCCCCUUAGGUCAUUGCAUUCAUCCAAAUGGAGAUAGGGUGUCUUCAGCUCGUACAGAGGUGACAGUAAAACAAAACCAGAUGACAAUAAAGGUAGGAUUCCAAGGCCAAGAAGAUAUGCUUGAAGGGUAGCUUUCAUUGUAAGGGAACUUGGGAGACACAGUAACUUUUAAGUUUGACCUUAUGAGAUAGCAAGUGUGGAGUUUCAUUAGCUAGGAUAGGGAAGGCUUUGGGAAUCACCCUUUUCCAAAAAGGAGCAAAAGGCUUUCAUGCUUCUUUGUUCUGUUCCAUGGGCAUAUAGUUUUCUGGCAUAUUCAUCUGCAUCAUACAAUCUAUCUAUACCACUCUUUGUGGUUAGUUUUUGGUAGUUUCUAGAAAAUCAAUACCCCUUUAUCUUAGGGCUUCCAACAUCUCUUAUGUGUUUUAAUCUAAUCUUAAUGCAUUGUAAUAUACUUGAUUUUUCAAGUUUCUGCAUUAGCCACUAGACUAUAUUUUCCUUAGAGCUUCAUUUUUGACUAAUACAUUGGCCACAAAAUGACUUUCAAUAAAUAUUUUUGAAUGCUUGAA
rnacentral:lncRNA from 1 species